GGGGAAAAUGAUGGCGGCAAGCCGAACGGACACGUGCACGUUGCUCCGUAGGCAUAUCCGAAAUAUCCCGGUAUAUUAAAGAAUUCGGGCGGAAAGUGCACGGAAGUGAAGUUUCUAGUGCGCCGGAAUGAGUGGGAACACAAGUGAUAGGUGAGCUCGCUGGUAUAAAAGCGAGAGAAACGAUUGAAAGUGCUGUGUGUGAAAAGUGUGGUUAGGGGCAGAGCGGGGGCCAUCUUGGGUCGCGCGACCGAAGCGCCACCGUGCGGGCCACCUGGGUAACCAAGGAGUGGUGGAGAGCGCCCCCGUGGAGGGCCAGUCAAAACUCCCCGCGGCGAACAGUCACGAAUCGCAUACACGCGGAAGGAUACAGUGGGAUUAUACGACGACCGGCUACGUUGAAGGACAUCCAUCUCAAACAACAUAUAUAUAUAUAUAUAUAUAUAUAUACGUAUAUAAGACAAGCACAAUAUGGACAAGUACUGUAAGUCAAGUAAACUUACGGCUCAGGGGGUUUCGGAGCUUCCAGGCCCCGUCGGGGAUUCGAGCAGC
rnacentral:misc_RNA from 1 species